rnacentral:rRNA from 1 species
UNUGACUUGAGUGCAGAAGGGGAGAGUGGAAUUCCAUGUGUAGCGGUGAAAUGCGUAGGUAUAUGGAGGAACACCAGUGGCGAAAGCGGCUCUCUGGUCUGUCACUGACGCUGAGGCUCGAAAGCGUGGGUAGCGAACAGGAUUAGAUACCCUGGUAGUNCACGCCGUAAACGAUGAGUGCUAGGUGUUAGGCCCUUUCCGGGGCUUAGUGCCGGAGCUAACGCAAUAAGCACUCCGCCUGGGGAGUACGACCGCAAGGUUGAAACUCAAAGGAAUUGACGGGGGCCCGCACAAGCGGUGGAGCAUGUGGUUUAAUUCGAAGCAACGCGAAGAACCUUACCAGGUCUUGACAUCCCGAUGCUAUUCUUAGAGAUAGGAAGUUACUUCGGUACAUCGGAGACAGGUGGUGCAUGGUUGUCGUCAGCUCGUGUCGUGAGAUGUUGGGUUAAGUCCCGCAACGAGCGCAACCCUUAUUGUUAGUUGCCAUCAUUAAGUUGGGCACUCUAGCGAGACUGCCGGUAAUAAACCGGAGGAAGGUGGGGAUGACGUCAAAUCAUCAUGCCCCUUAUGACCUGGGCUACACACGUGCUACAAUGGUCGGUACAACGAGUUGCGAGCCGGUGACGGCAAGCUAAUCUCUGAAAGCCGAUCUCAGUUCGGAUUGGAGGCUGCAACUCGCCUCCAUGAAGUCGGAAUCGCUAGUAAUCGCGGAUCAGCACGCCGCGGUGAAUACGUUCCCGGGCCUUGUACACACCGCCCGUCACACCACGAGAGUUUGUAACACCCGAAGUCGGUGAGGUAACCUUUUAGGG